UACAGGGGGUGCAAACGUUGCUCGGAAUCAUUGGGCGUAAAGCGCACGUAGGCGGUUCGUUAUGUCGGAUGUGAAAGCCCUUGGCUUAACCGAGGAAGUGCAUCCGAAACUGGCGAGCUAGAGUACUAAAGAGGAUCGCGGAAUUCCCGGUGUAGAGGUGAAAUUCGUAGAUAGUCGGGAGGAACACCGGUGGCGAAGGCGGCGAUCUGGGUCGAUACUGACGCUGAGGUGCGAAAGCGUGGGGAGCAAACAGG
rnacentral:rRNA from 1 species